UCUUCUCCUCUAGAAUGUAAGCCCCAUAAACCAGGAAGUUGGUUUUGUUCACUGUUGUAUCCCGACCACCUGGAACAAUGCCUGGCACAGAGCAAGGAAAGCACUGAAGAAAUGUUUUUGAGUGAGAAAAUUGGAUAUGAUUUCUUUCCCCUGUGGGUGAUAAGGAAGAUUGAGGAGGAAAUGGAAAAUGACCAAGGUUUCCUCAAGGGAUCACUUCCUCCAGGAGCCUACUGUGAACAUCGAUUCUCCACUUAGCUGCACAGUGGAGUCAGCAGGGAAGCUUUUCAUGCCCAGGCCACAUAUCUCAGAAUGAUAACAUUACUUGUUCUGGAAGCAGAAGGAUUGUGGGUGAACAUCUCCCAUGCUCAGAUGCUCAGAUGCUCAGCAGAGAUCAGUGAUUUUUCAGAAUGUUGGAAGGUGCCCACAACUGGCACUAGUGUAUUUUUUGUCACUUCAAAGCACCUAUAAACAGUCCUUUGCUUUUCCAUCCAA